rnacentral:rRNA from 1 species
GUAACAAGGUCUCCGUUG